CGAAGAAAUAUUAGAGAAAGGUGAUUAGGCAUAAUAUGGAGAAGUUACAGCUUAUGGAGGACAUGACCCUUGAUAGGAAGGUGUGGAUGACGCAAAUUAGGGUAGAGGGUUAGGGGGUGGGAGUGCGUCAAUAAUAGUAUGGGAGCGCUCCUCUGUGUCUGGAGUUUCUUGUUCGUGGCUAGCAGUGGUAGUUUAUUUUGCAUACCGUACUAGUUU
rnacentral:lncRNA from 1 species